rnacentral:rRNA from 1 species
AGAGUUUGAUCAUGGCUCAGAUUGAACGCUGGCGGCAUGCUUUACACAUGCAAGUCGAACGGUAACAGGUCUUCGGAUGCUGACGAGUGGCGAACGGGUGAGUAAUGCAUCGGAACGUGCCCAGUCGUGGGGGAUAACGUAGCGAAAGCUACGCUAAUACCGCAUACGAUCUAUGGAUGAAGCGGGGGACCGUAAGGCCUCGCGCGAUUGGAGCGGCCGAUGUCAGAUUAGGUAGUUGGUGGGGUAAAGGCUCACCAAGCCAACGAUCUGUAGCUGGUCUGAGAGGACGACCAGCCACACUGGAACUGAGACACGGUCCAGACUCCUACGGGAGGCAGCAGUGGGGAAUUUUGGACAAUGGGCGCAAGCCUGAUCCAGCAAUGCCGCGUGCAGGAAGAAGGCCUUCGGGUUGUAAACUGCUUUUGUACGGAACGAAACGGUCUGGGUUAAUACCCUGGGCUAAUGACGGUACCGUAAGAAUAAGCACCGGCUAACUACGUGCCAGCAGCCGCGGUAAUACGUAGGGUGCAAGCGUUAAUCGGAAUUACUGGGCGUAAAGCGUGCGCAGGCGGUUUUGUAAGACAGUCGUGAAAUCCCCGGGCUCAACCUGGGAAUUGCGAUUGUGACUGCAAGGCUGGAGUGCGGCAGAGGGGGAUGGAAUUCCGCGUGUAGCAGUGAAAUGCGUAGAUAUGCGGAGGAACACCGAUGGCGAAGGC